AUACGGAGGGUUCAAGCGUUAAUCGGAAUUACUGGGCGUAAAGCGUACGUAGGCGGUCCGUUAAGUUAGAUGUGAAAGCCCCGGGCUUAACCUGGGAACUGCAUUUAAAACUGGCGGACUAGAGUUGAGUAGAGGGGAGUGGAAUUUCAGGUGUAGCGGUGAAAUGCGUAGAGAUCUGAAGGAACACCAGUGGCGAAGGCGACUCCCUGGACUCGAACUGACGCUGAGGUACGAAAGCGUGGGUAGCAAACGGGAUUAGAAACCCGAGUAGUCC
rnacentral:rRNA from 1 species